GUGAACCAGUACCGUGAGGGAAAGGCGAAAAGAACCCCGGCGAGGGGAGUGAAAAAGAACCUGAAACCGUGUACGUACAAGCAGUGGGAGCACGCUUAGGCGUGUGACUGCGUACCUUUUGUAUAAUGGGUCAGCGACUUAUAUUCUGUAGCAAGGUUAACCGAAUAGGGGAGCCGAAGGGAAACCGAGUCUUAACUGGGCGUUAAGUUGCAGGGUAUAGACCCGAAACCCGGUGAUCUAGCCAUGGGCAGGUUGAAGGUUGGGUAACACUAACUGGAGGACCGAACCGACUAAUGUUGAAAAAUUAGCGGAUGACUUGUGGCUGGGGGUGAAAGGCCAAUCAAACCGGGAGAUAGCUGGUUCUCCCCGAAAGCUAUUUAGGUAGCGCCUCGUGAAUUCAUCUCCGGGGGUAGAGCACUGUUUCGGCAAGGGGGUCAUCCCGACUUACCAACCCGAUGCAAACUGCGAAUACCGGAGAAUGUUAUCACGGGAGACACACGGCGGGUGCUAACGUCCGUCGUGAAGAGGGAAACAACCCAGACCGCCAGCUAAGGUCCCAAAGUCAUGGUUAAGUGGGAAACGAUGUGGGAAGGCCCAGACAGCCAGGAUGUUGGCUUAGAAGCAGCCAUCAUUUAAAGAAAGCGUAAUAGCUCACUGGUCGAGUCGGCCUGCGCGGAAGAUGUAACGGGGCUAAACCAUGCACCGAAGCUGCGGCAGCGACGCUGAUGCGUUGUUGGGUA
rnacentral:rRNA from 1 species